rnacentral:rRNA from 1 species
CAGGCCUACCACAUGCAAGUCGAGCGGAGAUGAGGUGCUUGCACCUUAUCUUAGCGGCGGACGGGUGAGUAAUACUUAGGAAUCUGCCUAUUAGUGGGGGACAACAUUUCGAAAGGGAUGCUAAUACCGCAUACGCCCUACGGGGGAAAGCAGGGGAUCAUUUGACCUUGCGCUAAUAGAUGAGCCUAAGUCGGAUUAGCUAGUUGGUGGGGUAAAGGCCUACCAAGGCGACGAUCUGUAGCGGGUCUGAGAGGAUGAUCCGCCACACUGGGACUGAGACACGGCCCAGACUCCUACGGGAGGCAGCAGUGGGGAAUAUUGGACAAUGGGGGGAACCCUGAUCCAGCCAUGCCGCGUGUGUGAAGAAGGCCUUUUGGUUGUAAAGCACUUUAAGCGAGGAGGAGGCUACUGGUAUUAAUACUACUGGAUAGUGGACGUUACUCGCAGAAUAAGCACCGGCUAACUCUGUGCCAGCAGCCGCGGUAAA